UACGUAGGGCGCGAGCGUUGUCCGGAAUUAUUGGGCGUAAAGAGCUCGUAGGCGGCCUGUUGCGUCCGCUGUGAAAGCCCGGGGCUUAACCCCGGGUCUGCAGUGGAUACGGGCAGGCUAGAGGUAGGUAGGGGAGAAUGGAAUUCCCGGUGUAGCGGUGAAAUGCGCAGAUAUCGGGAGGAACACCGGUGGCGAAGGCGGUCUCUGGGCCUUACCUGACGCUGAGGAGCGAAAGCGUGGGAGC
rnacentral:rRNA from 1 species